CAAGGCUGAGGCGUGAUGACGAGGCACUACGGUGCUGAAGCGACAAAUGCCCUGCUUCCAGGAAAAGCCUCUAAGCAUCAGGUAACAUCAAAUCGUACCCCAAACCGACACAGGUGGUCAGGUAGAGAAUACCAAGGCGCUUGAGAGAACUCGGGUGAAGGAACUAGGCAAAAUGGUGCCGUAACUUCGGGAGAAGGCACGCUGAUAUGUAGGUGAAGCGACUUGCUCGUGGAGCUGAAAUCAGUCGAAGAUACCAGCUGGCUGCAACUGUUUAUUAAAAACACAGCACUGUGCAAACACGAAAGUGGACGUAUACGGUGUGACGCCUGCCCGGUGCCGGAAGGUUAAUUGAUGGGGUUAGCGGUAACGCGAAGCUCUUGAUCGAAGCCCCGGUAAACGGCGGCCGUAACUAUAACGGUCCUAAGGUAGCGAAAUUCCUUGUCGGGUAAGUUCCGACCUGCACGAAUGGCGUAAUGAUGGCCAGGCUGUCUCCACCCGAGACUCAGUGAAAUUGAACUCGCUGUGAAGAUGCAGUGUACCCGCGGCAAGACGGAAAGACCCCGUGAACCUUUACUAUAGCUUGACACUGAACAUUGAGCCUUGAUGUGUAGGAUAGGUGGGAGGCUUUGAAGUGUGGACGCCAGUCUGCAUGGAGCCGACCUUGAAAUACCACCCUUUAAUGUUUGAUGUUCUAACGUGGGCCCCUUACCGGGGUUGCGGACAGUGUCUGGUGGGUAGUUUGACUGGGGCGGUCUCCUCCUAAAGAGUAACGGAGGAGCACGAAGGUUGGCUAAUCCUGGUCGGACAUCAGGAGGUUAGUGCAAUGGCAUAAGCCAGCUUGACUGCGAGCGUGACGGCGCGAGCAGGUGCGAAAGCAGGUCAUAGUGAUCCGGUGGUUCUGAAUGGAAGGGCCAUCGCUCAACGGAUAAAAGGUACUCCGGGGAUAACAGGCUGAUACCGCCCAAGAGUUCAUAUCGACGGCGGUGUUUGGCACCUCGAUGUCGGCUCAUCACAUCCUGGGGCUGAAGUAGGUCCCAAGGGUAUGGCUGUUCGCCAUUUAAAGUGGUACGCGAGCUGGGUUUAGAACGUCGUGAGACAGUUCGGUCCCUAUCUGCCGUGGGCGCUGGAGAACUGAGGGGGGCUGCUCCUAGUACGAGAGGACCGGAGUGGACGCAUCACUGGUGUUCGGGUUGUCAUGCCAAUGGCACUGCCCGGUAGCUAAAUGCGGAAGAGAUAAGUGCUGAAAGCAUCUAAGCACGAAACUUGCCCCGAGAUGAGUUCUCCCUGACUCCUUGAGAGUCCUGAAGGAACGUUGAAGACGACGACGUUGAUAGGCCGGGUGUGUAAGCGCAGCGAUGCGUUGAGCUAACCGGUACUAAUGAACCGUGAGGCUUAACCUU
rnacentral:rRNA from 1 species